rnacentral:tRNA from 1 species
UAUAUUUUGAUGUAUGAUGCAUAAAAGUUUUUGAUACUUUAAGUAACAGUUUAAUUCUGUUAAGUAUAA